AACGCACAUUGCGCCCUUUGGUAUUCCGAGGGGCAUGCCUGUUCGAGCGUCAUUAUAACCACUCAAGCCUUGGCUUGGUAUUGGGGUUCGCGGUUUCGCGGCUCUUAAAAUCAGUGGCGGUGCCGUCUGGCUCUAAGCGUAGUAAUUUUUCUCGCUAUAGGGUCCCGGUGGUGGCUUGCCAAAACCCCCCCCUUAUUUUCCUACGGUUGACCUCGGAUCAGGUAGGGAUACCCGCUGAACUUAA
rnacentral:misc_RNA from 1 species